UACGUAGGCAGCGAGCGUUGUUCGGAGUUACUGGGCGUAAAGGGUGUGUAGGCGGUUCUCUAAGUUUGGUGUGAAAUCUCCCGGCUCAACCGGGAGGGUGCGCCGAAAACUGGAGGGCUAGAGUGCGGGAAGGGAGAGUAGAAUUCCUGGUGUAGCGGUGAAAUGCGCAGAUAUCAGGAGGAACACCAAUUGCGAAGGCAGCUCGCUGGGACGUUACUGACGCUGAGACGCGAAAGCGUGGGGAGCGAACAGG
rnacentral:rRNA from 1 species